UCAUUUUCUUUCUUCAUCAAGGGAGAUCCAUCACGAAUUGCUACCUCACAAAUUGGGUGAACGACUGGGAUGCACCCAUGAACUUCCAGGUCCCGCCCGGCAGAGUGAUCAUUGGUGCCUACAGCGUCCAUAGCAACCGCAAGGAAGAUCGCCGAUGGAAGUUCCAUGUGUGUGACAUCCAGCAUUAAACAACUCCCCCUAUGACAUCUCGGCUGUUCCAUCAAUGAACAACUUCCCCCUAUGACAGCUCGGCUGUUCCAUCAAUAGACAACUCCCCCCAUGACAUCUCGGCUGUUCCAGCAAUAAACAACUUCCCCCAUGACAUCUCGGCUGUUCCAUCAAUAAACAACUUCCCCCAUGACAUCUCGGCUGUUCCAUUAAUGAACAAGUUCCCCCCCUUGACAUCUCGGCUGUUCCAUUAAUGAACAAGUUCCACCCUUGACAUCUCGGCUGUUCCAUUAAUGAACAAGUUCCUCCCUUGACAUCUCGGCUGUUCCAUCAAUAAACAACUUCCCCCAUGAUAUCUCGGCUGUUCCAGCAAUAAACAACUUCCCCCAUGACAUUUCGGCUGUUCCAUCAAUGAAUAACUCGCUACUGUAGAAUUACAAAUUUUUAACUGACAUAAACCUUUUUGGCCGCUUUGAGUUCCAAAUACCAUGAGGUCAGAAACCUUUCUAACUGCUCUAUAAAAAUCGUAAGAUUAUUCGGAGUCGUUAUCAAGAGAGUCAAAAAUUGCUUCCCCAAAAGGUUGACUUGAUGUGCAACUCAAAUUGUUUGACGUCAAAGUCUCAAAACUAGAUAGUGAGCUGAUAGAACAUGUAAUUCUAGGGAGGCAAACAUCCCGCCAUGACGUUUACGCUGUUCCAUCAAUGAACAAUCCUUGUCAUCAUCAUGGAACAAGACAGGACUGCUGAUUUAAUUAUAAUAAUAUUGUGCUUUCUUUUCUUAAGUUCGGGGAUCCCACUUCUUAAAAAAAAAAAAUAAUGGAAAAAGAAAAAGUUCACCGCACUAAAACCCAUUCCACAGCAAAAAGCCAUUAUUUACAUAUUUGGAAAGUUGAUAUUGUUUAAAGAAGAAGUCUGCAAAUUAUGAAUGUGGAAAUAGAUUAGUUUGGUUAUUCUACAUUAAUAAAUAAACACCCCCCCAAAAACACACACACAACAACAACGAGAAAACAAAACCCCCCCACAAAAACCCCCACAAAAAAACAACAACCAACAAACAAUCAAUGGGAAAAGUUUUUUUUUCUUCUCUCUGUUAAUCUGUAAAGAGGUAUGGUUGCAUUACUAUCGUGAAAUAAAUAAAUACACUAUCAUGAA